GAAAUGCGAUAAGUAAUGUGAAUUGCAGAAUUCAGUGAAUCAUCGAAUCUUUGAACGCACAUUGCGCCCGCCAGUAUUCUGGCGGGCAUGCCUGUUCGAGCGUCAUUUCAACCAUCAAGCCCCCGGGCUUGUGUUGGGGACCUGCGGCUGCCGCAGGCCCCGAAAACCAGUGGCGGGCUCGCUGUCACACCGGGCGUAGUAGAUUUUUCGUCUCGCCCAGGGCGUGCUGCGGGUUCCGGCCGUUAAAAAGCCUCUCUUUUAACCCAAGGUUGACCUCGGAUCAGGUAGGAAGACCCGCUGAACCUAAGC
rnacentral:misc_RNA from 1 species